AUGCUGCUGCUGCUGCUGCUGCUGCUGCUGCUGCUGCUGCUGCUGCUGCUGCUGCUGCUGCAGCAGAUGCGGCCCCGGAGCGUCGUCCCGUCCCGGAGGAUGCCCUUGGCCCGGCCGAUGCUCCGAGCGGGGGUCGGCGGCGGGGGACGGAGGGCCCCCCCGCCUCCGAGCCUCCGGGAACCGCGGCUCGCCCAGGCUGUAGGCGUACAGCUGCAGGAGGGACCCGCCCCGCGCCGCCGCCGCCGCCGCCGCCGCCGCCGCCGCGCUCCCUCCUCCUCCUCCGAAGAGAGCGGCGGGGGGCUGAGGCCGCGGGGCCACGGCGUAGGGGCCGAGCGCCGGGUAGCCGGCGGCCCACAGCAGCCGCGCGGCCGGGGGAUGGCCCCGGGGCUCGGCGCUCGGCUCCCCGCGGCGGCGGAAGGGCUUGCUGAGGAUGCUGUCGAUGGCGAAGGAGCUGGAGAACUUGCCCGCCGCGCCCGGACCCGCGCCCUCCUCCUUGCAGCGCGGCGGGCAGGGCGAGGGGGACGAGGGGGCGGCCGGCGGGGGAGCCGAGGCCGGCGGGGGCGGGAGGAGGAGGGCGGGGCCGGUCCCCGCGGCCGCCGGCUCCUCCUCGGGCGGCCGGGCCGCGGGAUCCUCCGCCGCCGCCGCCGCCGCCGCCACGGCCGCCGCCGCCGCCACGGCCGCCUUGUGGCCCAGCCUCUUGCGGCGGCGGCGGAAGACCCCGUCGGCGAAGGUGUACUCGCUGUUGGGGUUGAGCAUCCAGUAGUUGUCCUUGCCCCAGGGCCGCGAGGGGUCGCGCAACACCUUGACGAAGCAGUCGUUGAGCGACAGGUUGUGGCGCACCGAGUUGCGCCAGCCCGUGUAGCUGCCGCGGAAGAAGGGGAACUUGGCCAUGAGGUACUCGUUGAUCUCGGCCAGCGUCAGGCGGCCCCCGGCCGAGUCGCGGAUGGCCAUGGCGAUCAGCGCGAUGUAGGAGUAGGGGGGCUUCGGCCGCCGGGUGUACGGCUUGGUCCGCCCGCCCCCGGCCCCGGCCGCGGCGUCUCCCCCGACCGCGGCCCCGGAGCCGCCGCCCGAGCCGUGGGCGGCGCAGUCCCCGUCCGAGCCCGGCUCGUCCUCUCCGGGGCCCGACACCGGAGACAACGGGCCGCCGCCGCCUGCUCUUGCUCCUGCUCCGCCCGCCCCCUCCAGGUGGCCGCCCGUUUCGGCGUCGCCAUUGGCGCGGAGGGCGAAGACGUCCAACUUCAUCCCCCCGCUGGGCUCAGCCCGGGCGCCCCCCGCGCCCUCCCGGAGCGGAGCCCCGCCGACCCGCUCCUCGCCGCCUCCUUCUGUCCCGGGGCGGUGGCCCGAGCUGGUGGAGGGGCCGGGGCCGUCCGGCUCCCCUCCUGGCCCUCGGGAGCGUCCCGUCCCGUCCCGUGCGAUCCCGUCCCGUCCCGUGCGGUCCCGUCCGGUCCCCGCCCCCCGGGCCGUCGGCCUGCGCGGACCCUCGGGUCCCGGCGGAGUCAGGGGAGGCUGGCGAAGAGCUUAGGCGGCGGGACGCGGGACACUCGGAAGGAAGGAGGCAACCAACCCCAAGGACCGGCUCCCGAGGCCGCCCCGGCCGGGGCCAGACCCCACCCCAAGCCUUAA
rnacentral:lncRNA from 1 species